GCCGAAGUGGCGAAAUGGCAGACGCGCUAGCUUCAGGAGCUAGUGGGAGCAAUCCCGUGGAGGUUCGAGUCCUCUCUUCGGCACCA
rnacentral:tRNA from 6 species